ACAACCCACUCUAAUCACCCAUCUAAAUUUAAAAAUAAUAAUAAUUCUGGGGAAAAGAUUCACCACAAUAGUUUAACAACAGCAGUGGCGGUGGUUAAUCAUCAAGAGCUCUGUUUUUCAUGCAGGCGUGGGCAUAAAUGCAGGACCUUUGCCAUUGACAAACUUCUCUUUCAGUUUUCCUUCAAAACCCAUUUCACUUUCCAUCAAAAACACACAUUUACACCACAAAUCACACACUAAUAUCUAAACAAUCUCAAAAUAUUUUGUGGGUAUGUUUCUUUUUCUUGUGGGGUUGAAUAUUUCAUCAAGAAAAGAGGUUUCUUGAACCAAAUUCAAGAAAAAGAUUCUUGCUUUUAUGAUUUUUAUCUGGGGUUCUUGAACUCUGCAGAAGAGAGUACCAAAAGUGGUUCAGAUUCUCUGAAAUGGGUAUCUUUUUCUCCAAUUAGGGUUUGGUCAGAAUGAAUCAUGUUAUGAAGAAAGGGCUUAUUUAUGAUACUGUAAACAUCUUCUUUUUCAUCUAUGUUUAAAUUAACUGCUCCCUGAACACUUUUUCUGAUCUCUUUGAUGAGUUUUCUUGUCAUUGGGGGUGUGACAUAUGUUUGUGUAAGUUUGGGGAUUUGAUUCAUUUUGACCUUUUCUUGUUCAGUGUCAUAAGUUUGAUGUUUGGGCCAUCUUUAUUUGUUCCAAGACCUUAACUUUAUCAUGGUACAGGUGCUUCUUUAGCUUCUUUUAAGCUUCUUUCAAGUUGGUUUUUUGAUCUGAGGCUUUAAUUGUUGUGGGUUUGUUUUCUUGAUCUUAGGGUUUUAAAUUUGAAAUUAGGGUUUUUUAUCUGAUUUUUGUGAGAUGGGUGGUGAGGGUGAAAUUGAUGGGGGAAAUAGAGAUGAUGAACAAAUGCAUUACAAUCCAAUGGUUGACUCCUUUGACCAUACUGCUCCCACCAUAUGGGAUCAUCAUCCCACAAAUUCACAAAAUUUAGGUGCUUUUUGUGACAUGAAUAUGCAAAACAUUGCCACCACUUCAUCUUCCUCACUAGGGUUUUACAAAGGAAAUCUUUUUGCCCCAACAAGAAAUCUCGACACGUGUUGGGGGCCGACGGAUUCCGCGGUUAAACGCGGUGGUAUGUUCUUCCCACCGGGUGGUUCCGCGGUGCUUCCGCACGGGUUAUCUCAGUUUCCAACCGAUUCGGGGUUCAUUGAGCGGGCGGCUAGGUUAUCAUCGUUUAGUGGAGGUAGUUUCGAAAAUGUGAUAAACCCUUUUGGCAAUGUACAUGAAUCGGGUUUGAACCCGUAUCGUAAUAGACCACAAGUGCAACCGCAAGAGGGGUUUGUAGGGAACGGGUUCAAAUCGCCUUCUGGUGAUGGGUCUAAAGAGACGCCCCUGCCUGUUGACUGUUUGACCGACGACGGACGUCAAGCUAAACAGGGUGGUUCGAGUUUUUCCGGCAGUACUUUGGCCGGUGAAGCGGAAUUUAGUGGCGGUGGUGAUGAGAAUUCUAAUGAGGGACUUGGUUCAAAGAAAAGAAGAAGUGAUCAGGAUACCGAGUACAAUCAAGUCAAACGAUCACCACAAACGCCUAGUGAAGUCACAAAGAACAACAACGAAUGUCAACCGAAGGGUGAAAAUAACCCGAGUUCCGUUGCUAAUAAAUCAAGUGGGAAACAUGGUAAGCAGGUAUCUCCUUCAUCCGAUGCACAGAAGGAAGAAUACAUUCAUGUUCGGGCGCGAAGAGGUCAAGCUACCAAUAGUCAUAGUCUUGCAGAAAGAGUGAGAAGGGAGAAGAUUAGUGAAAGAAUGAAAUUCCUACAAGAUCUUGUCCCUGGAUGUAGCAAGGUCACCGGCAAAGCGGUUAUGCUGGAUGAAAUCAUUAACUAUGUACAGUCGCUACAACGACAGGUCGAGUUUUUGUCGAUGAAACUUGCUACCGUUAAUCCUCGAAUGGAUUUUAACCUUGAAGGACUCAUGGCAAAAGACGCGAUGGAAUCGCGCUUGGGACCUUCUGGCUCGCUUGGUACUGACAUGGCAAUGCCGUACGCUCUUAAUCAAUCACAAAUGGCGAUUAUGCAAGGCGGGAUUUCUGGCGUUGGAAGAAGUUCAGAUGCGGGAAGAAGAACGGUUAAUUCCCAUUUGAUGUCUAUUAGUGGAGGAUUUAAAGAUCCUGCUUCACAGACAGGUACCUAGUACAUGGGAUGAUGAGCUUCACAACAUUGUCCAGAUGGGAUUACAUCCUAGUACUCCCAUCAGCAGCCAAAAUUUAGGAUCGACACCUCCAGGCCAUCUGAAAGCCGAACCCUGAAAAAGAACACGAAUUUUGGCUUCACGAAAAAAGCAUAACUUAAAAAAUCCGAAUGCGGGGUCGAAUCUUGUGGGGCCCAUAGACCACAUGUCAUGUAAUUAAUCUGUAGGUAUCCUUUUCGGUCAGUUUGAUUAUAUACUAAACUGCAAGAGAAGGUGAUGAUACAUAAAAAGCGUAUGGGAUCAACUUGGUCAUCACGAAAAAAUGACAUUUUGUUGACUCACAUUGUAAAGCAAGCGAUGAAUCAGUAUCUGGGUAAGCUCUGUAAUGAAUAUUUAGACCAAUGAAAUGUUAAUGUUUAGUGUGUUGAUGUUUGUAUUAGAACAGUUUGUUUUCUUCGGCAAAACUGAUUUGUGAACCAUUUUGACCCGUUAUAUAAUACGAGCAGAUCAAGAUUAA